rnacentral:rRNA from 1 species
UACGUAGGGCGCAAGCGUUGCUCGGAAUCACUGGGCGUAAAGCGCACGUAGGCGGGUUGUUAAGUCGGGGGUGAAAUCCUGGAGCUCAACUCCAGAACUGCCUUCGAUACUGGCGACCUUGAGUCCGGGAGAGGUGAGUGGAACUCCGAGUGUAGAGGUGAAAUUCGUAGAUAUUCGGAAGAACACCAGUGGCGAAGGCGGCUCACUGGCCCGGUACUGACGCUGAGGUGCGAAAGCGUGGGGAGCAAACAGG